AGCUUUGUGCAGUGGCAGUAUCGUAGCCAAUGAGGUUUAUCUGAGGCACAAUUAUUGCUAAUUGAAAACGUUUCCCAAUACCCCGCCAUGAAAACUUGAAAUAGAGUUGGCAUUGGCAAUUUUUGACAGUCUCUAAGGAGA
ensembl:snRNA U4 U4 spliceosomal RNA